AAUAUGUAGGACACAUUUUGCCACACUGUCAUAUUGUAUAAUACUGUCACUAUUUUCCCACAGGGGAAAGCAGCUACAGAAUGUCCUCUCUGGUCUUGAGAUCUCUUGUGGUCAAGGAAGGGAACUGCUCUGGCAAACUCAGAGUGCUGAGAGAGUCCAUGCCAAUCAUCUAUCUGCAGAAAGGGAGAGCUGGGUUCAGACCACACAGGUGCUGGAAGAGAUGGAGAGAGAUUUGGUGAUCUCGUUCCCCUCUGCUCUGCCUCCUGAGGAGAGACGUCAGUAUCAGUGGGAUGUGCUCUCAUUGUACAAACAGAACCAAGAUCUCAGCACAUCCUUAGAGAGCUGAAAGGAAGAACUUAUGAGUGCUGAAAGAAAGCUAGUGGAUUUUGAGGAUGAGAAGAAGUGGCUAGAGGAAAAGGUUGACAGCAUUUGUGGCAUAAUGCUGGUUACCACAAAAAUAAUUAAACUAUUCCCUCCUUAAUACAAAUAAAAGCAAAAAUUGUUAGGGCAAGACAUUUACAAUAGAAGUGAAUGGGGAUUAAUUUAGUGGGAUAAAAUCAGGGAUUUACUGCCGUUACAGCGUUGACCAGACUACAGGGUUUACUGGCGCUGUAUUGUUAUGACAACAACUUUGUAAUAUUGGAUAUAACUCACUCUAAAAUCUUGUUAGCACAUGUAAUGUUUAUGUCUUGCAGUUAUACUUUUGAGACAGUGUGUAUUUUAAUGUUUAUAGACUGGACACAUUUACUUCCAUUGUAAGCGCCUUACUGUAACCACAACUUUUGCUUUUAAAAAAAAGAAAAUAAACGAGAGACGAGUCGAAAUUAUUGUUUGUGGUAAUCAACAUUAUUACCAAAUCAUUCCUUAAACAUUCAUUAAAACAUUCAAUAAAAACCCCAUGAAAAUGCUUGAUGGGUGCAUUUCCCUUUCAAGAACGUAACUUUGACGCUACAUCAGAAGCUACUCUAUGGGAGCACCCCCCAGCGGGUGCUGACUUUGAUACCCAAUACCAUCACGCCAAUUAGAUUGGCUGGUGAUGCUUGGCAUUCAACCUAUGCUUACGUCUUUGUGGGCAUAGCCUAUAAGCUGGAGCCAAGCAUCACACCAUCAGAAUUUUGCUUAGACAACUCUCUUGCUCUGGAACCCUAAAACAAAGCUUUGCGGGAUAGAGAAAUAGAGAUUUUGAGGAGGAUUUGUCGCCUGCUUGAUGCCACGUUGUGUCAGCUGGGCCUCUUUGGUGAUGCUAUUGAUGCUUUCACAGAGAGGUUUCAAUUAGCUAAGAAGCAAUUGCUGGUUUAUAGAAACAUCCUGCUAAGGCGGAGUAGUCCUGUAACCCAGACAGUUUGCUCGCUCUCUAGUCUGGGACCAGCUAAACAGAGUGCUACCAUCUCUAACCCUGUUCCUUCCCAUAGAAUGGUGUCAGAGCUGCCAGCGAGCAAGCAAGCCCAGUGGCUUGCGAACGUCUGUGUGACAGACUAGAGCAGGCGUGUGUUCUGAAUGGUGUGUUUAUAUGUACUGCCUAAUUGGUAGGAGGUAGAGCUGACAGAUCAGCUGAGCAUCAGCUAAAGAGCCUGCUGGCAAUACCAUGGUCUGCCUGAACAACGCUUAAGCUCCAUUUCAGUCAUUAAAGCUCCAUUUCUUGGCUGCAGUCAUAAAGCAGUUGUUUAUGAGGGGAGGCUGUUGUUAAGGCAGAGCACUGAUUCCAUUGCGUCUUCUCCGUGUGUCUGAUCAUGGAUAGGACAAAUCGAUGGCUUGUUCAAAAACAGGAGAUACCGAUGAAAACCAAAAACUCAGUCAUGUCAGCUCUCUCUUUUUUUUGUAUCCUUUACAUUGUGUGAAAGUUUCCGGGAUUUACGCCUGCAUGGUUUACCGGCAUUAAAGGUAUGUUUUCAUGAAAAUAAAGUUGAAAUACUGGAUAACUUUACACAGGCAAGGCUAGUAGGCAGAGUCACACCAGAGUCAUGUUAACACAUUGUGCUUAAUUAUUGUGGCUAUAUUUUUGAAAAACAGUGUGUAUUUAAUGUUUUGUGUAUUGGACUAGUUUUCUUUCAUUGUAUGUGCCUUUCGGCAUGCAAUAUUUUUUCUUUAGAAAAAGAGGGAUGAGUCUAAAUAAUUUCCUGUGGUAAUCAACAUUAUGCCACAAAUGCUGUCAAUAGAACUUGUAUUAAACUCGAAGCACUCCUUGUAAGAAUAAAUGUCUAUGAAUUAAUGUAAAGUCUCAAAGCAGUGCUGGUUUUUAUGGUAAUGCCUGCUCUAAGUGCUGUUCUCACUUCAUUCUCAAAAGUUUGAAUGAAACAUCCCAAAAGUUUUGCAGAUUUGAAAACUGUUCUAUUGUCUUCACUAUUCACAUUUUUGUCCCAUGAUUGAUACAACAAAGUGCCCAAAAACUUUUUUGUUUUCAUCUCCGCUCAUAAUGUGAUGUUCAGUCAUCUCUGUUCUGUGUAUGUUUUGGAAGUAGCUCUUGACUGGCUGCCAUAAUUCAGUGGUGAUCUUUCCUCUGCUUUGCACCAGGGACGUGCCAGUUCUAUGCUCAGAGGUACAGAUUCUCCUCGCCAAGGAUGUUAAAAAGAGUGUACAGACUGGUGAAGAACAGAAAGGCUUCUACAGCUGUUAUUUUUUGAUCACCAAAAAGAGAAGAUUGUUGUGGCCCAUACUGGACCUGAGACCUUUCAAUUGAACACUUACGUGGUCUUUGUUGAUGAUGGUGAUUCAGAGACAGAUAUUGUCUCAUGUCCGCCCCCUGGACUGGUUUAUAUCAAUUGACCUGAAAGAUGCAUAAUUUCAUGUGCAGAUUACCCCUCAUCACAGGCCAUUCUUGAGAUUGGCCAUCGAGGGGACUGCAUACCAGUUCAAAGUCCUACCUUUUGGGUUGUCCCUGUCUCCUCGCACAUUCAUGAAAUGAAAGCUGAGCAGCAUUUGUGUAUUGAAUUACCUCAAUAAUUGGCUGUUGCUAACUUAAUUAGAGGCACAGGUAUGCAAGCACAGGGAUCUGUUGCUCAUAGAUUUGGAGCAGGUGGGACUGAGGGUCAACUGGAAAAAAAGUUUGUUGGUGCCCAUUUAGAAAGUUUCCUUCCUAUGAAUGAAACUCGACUCAGUAGCCAUGUCGGGUCAUUUGAGAAAUGGCCCAAAAGACACUGGUUCCCUGAGAUGGUACAGACGGGAACCGGCUGAACAGUAAACAUAAAGUUUUCUUGUCAAACUUAACUUAAAACAAACAUAAACAAACACAGACACACAUGCAAUGCGGCCACGUACAUCUCUUUCUCUCGAACUGGUGCCUCCGGCUCCCCUUUUUCACGCUCUCUCACUGGUCAGCUGAUUCAACGCAGGCCGUGCAUCAUCACGGCCCGGCCAUGCCCUCCUGCUCAUCACACUCCAUGCCUAGUUCAUGCUGUCAUGCUAAAGCAGAUACUACAAAAUACUGGAAUUUAUAUACAUGUUUCAUUUCAAUUUAUCACUGAAAUUCUUAUUCUGAUAAUAUUUGUAAUUGAAUAUUUUGUAUCAAAUUUGAAAAAAUGCAACAAAGCAUUUUCACUAGUGGUUUCUGACCCUUGGGCCGUAAUGUAGAUUUCAUAACAUUUGCUAAAACCGAUCCUGUAACAGUAUGUCUUCUUGAAUCUUCAUAACAUUCAUGCAAACCUUGACCCAAUGCAUCCUUUCAUUGACUGCCUCGUGUUCUGACACCUUUGGCUCCUGGCAUGAAAUGUCUGUUUGUUUGUAUGGCAUCUUUGAUUGACAGUGAGGAGUGUGAGGAGGCUUACAGUGACCUGCUGUCACUGUACGAGACCAGAAAACAACAAAACGCAGGCAUUAAGCAGACCUCAGUCUGACCUCUCAGUUAACUGGUGAGAAGAACUUGGACAAGGGAGAGUCAUCCUCCUGUACACUAGAGGGCAAUACUGAGUGCAGACCAAACAGCUUACUCCAGUUUGAGGACAAGGCAGGUGUUAUUCUGCAGAGGAUCUCUUGGCUGUAGCAGGACAGGGCUGCUCUGUGUAUCCCACAGCAGGGCGAGAUGGUAAAGUCUCACGCACCUACAGAAGUUCUCGUAAAAAGUACCAGGAGCAGCUGUGGCGACUGGAGAAGCAAAUUGCAGUCAUGAGUGAACGUCACGC